rnacentral:rRNA from 1 species
ACGUAGGUGGCAAGCGUUGUCCGGAAUUAUUGGGCGUAAAGAGCGCGUAGGCGGGAUGGACAGUCUGUUGUGAAAUUGCGGGGCUCAACCCCGUAUCGGCAAUGGAAACUUCCAUUCUUGAGUGCAGGAGAGGAAAGUGGAAUUCCCAGUGUAGCGGUGAAAUGCGUAGAUAUUGGGAGGAACACCAGUGGCGAAGGCGACUUUCUGGACUGUGUCUGACGCUGAGGUGCGAAAGCUAGGGGAGCGAACGG